UACGGAGGGUGCAAGCGUUAUCCGGAUUCACUGGGUUUAAAGGGUGCGUAGGAGGGCAGGUAAGUCAGUGGUAAAAUCUCCGAGCUUAACUUGGAAACUGCCGUUGAUACUAUCUGUCUUGAAUAUUGUGGAGGUGAGCGGAAUAUGUCAUGUAGCGGUGAAAUGCUUAGAUAUGACAUAGAACACCAAUUGCGAAGGCAGCUCGCUACACAUAUAUUGACUCUGAGGCACGAAAGCGUGGGGAUCAAACAGG
rnacentral:rRNA from 1 species